rnacentral:rRNA from 1 species
GAUGAACGCUGGCGGCGUGCUUAACACAUGCAAGUCGAACGGGAAUUAUUUUAUUGAAACUUCGGUCGAUUUAAUUUAAUUCUAGUGGCGGACGGGUGAGUAACGCGUGGGUAACCUGCCUUACACAGGGGGAUAACAGUCAGAAAUGGCUGCUAAUACCGCAUAAGCGCACAGAGCUGCAUGGCUCAGUGUGAAAAACUCCGGUGGUAUAAGAUGGACCCGCGUUGGAUUAGCUGGUUGGUGGGGUAACGGCCCACCAAGGCGACGAUCCAUAGCCGGCCUGAGAGGGUGAACGGCCACAUUGGGACUGAGACACGGCCCAGACUCCUACGGGAGGCAGCAGUGGGGAAUAUUGCACAAUGGGGGAAACCCUGAUGCAGCGACGCCGCGUGAAGGAAGAAGUAUCUCGGUAUGUAAACUUCUAUCAGCAGGGAAGAUAGUGACGGUACCUGACUAAGAAGCCCCGGCUAACUACGUG